GUAUAAGCUGACGGUCCUGGAUCGAGUCCGUGUCGAUUGCCACCCCUACUUUUCUCAAAAACUUAUAUGACAAAAGCACUAUCCUUAUAAAUCAGCCUAACAGCAACCUUUCUUCUCUCUCUACACCCCCGCCCUUCUCUCUCUCUCUCUCUCUCUCUAACAGACACCCAUUUGACAAAAGUGACUUCUCUGUACCCCUGAAGCAUCCUUUUAAGUACAGCACCCAAACCCUCUCUCUCUCAAACAACCAUUGACGAAAAACUACUCUCUGUCUCAAAACAUGAAACAUCCAACAAACAAUUCCUCUUUCUCGGGUUAUCUCUAAACCCAUCUCGCUCUUUCUCCAAUUGAACAAAACCAUGUCUCUCUCGCAACCCCAUCAAACAUAGCACCUCUCUCUCACUG
rnacentral:lncRNA from 1 species